rnacentral:lncRNA from 1 species
UUGUUUAUCAUUCUAUAUAUAAUAGCUUGCAUCUGCUAAUUCCAAACUCCGUGUCCAUCCCUCCUGGCCACCCCCCACGCCUACCCUUGGCAACCAUAGGUCUGUUCUCCAUGUCUCUGAGUUUGUUUCUGUUUUAUAGAUAGGUUCAUUUAUGUGUAGAUUCAACAUAUAAGUAAUAGCAUAUGGUAUUUGUUUUUCUCUUGACUUACUUUACUUACUAUGAUAAUCUCUAGGUCCAGCUGUGUUGCUGCAAAUGGCACUAUUUCAUUCUUUUUAAUGGCUGAAUAAUACUCCAUUGCAUGUUUAUAUAUAUACACACACUACAUCUGCUUUAUCCAUUCAUCUGUCGAUGGACAUUUAGGGUGUUUCAACGUCUUGGCUAUUGUAAAUAGUGCUAUUAUGAAAAUAGGAAUGCAUAUGUCUUUUCAAAUUAUAAUUUUUUUCUGGAUAUAUGCACAGAAGCAGAAUUGCUUGGUCAUAGGCAGCUCUAUUUUUAGUUUUUUGAGGAACCUCCAUACUGUUUUCCAUUGUGGCUGCACCACUUUACAUCCCCACCAACAGUGUGGUAGUGUUCCCUUUCCUCCACACUGUCUCUAGCAUUUAUUGUUUGUAGACUUUUAAUGAUGGCCAUUCUGACCUCAUUGUAGUUUUGAUUUGCAUUUCUCUAAUAAUGAGCGAUGAUAGCAUGUUUUCUUGUGCCUACUGGCCAUCUGUAUGUGAGAAAAGUCAUGUUUUAAAAGAUUAUGGCGCAGUGGAGGCAAAUCCGACUAGGAACCAUGAGGUGUGGGUUCAAUCCCUGGCCUUGCUCAGUGGGUUAAGUAUCCGGCGUUGCCAUGAGCUAUGGUGUAGGUCACAGAUGCGGCUUGGAUCUGGCAUUGCUGUGGCUGUGGUACAGGCCAGCAGCUGUAGCUCGGAUUAGACCCUUAGCCUGGGAACCUCCAUAUCCCUCGAGUACGGCCCCAAAAAGACAAAAGGCAAAAAAAAAAAAAAAAAAGAAAAGAAAAAAGUGAUUAUAACCAAAAGAUAAUCAGGAGUUCCCUUUGUGGCUCAGUGGUUGACAAACAAGUCUACUAUCCAUGAGGGUGCCGGUUUGAUCCCUGGCCUCAGUAAGUGGGUUAAGGAUCUGACAUUGCCAUGAGCUGUGGUGUGGGUCACAGACACAGCUUGGAUCUGGCAUUGCUGUGGCUCUGGCAUAGGCCAGCAGCUAUAGCUCUGAUUCACCCCCUAGCCUGGGAACCACCAUGUGCCACAGAUGCGGUUCUAAAAAGACCAAAAAAAAAAAAAAAAAAAAAAAAGAGGAUUAUCAAUUAUAUUCAGCCCUGUGAAGACAUUUUUGUAAAGGCUGUUCAGCAUGGGGUGUAAGGAAAAAGUUAAGCGGCCAAAAAUGUGUCAUUGUGUCCAGAGCUGCUCUAUCCAAUAGAAGAGCAACUAGCCCCGCAGCUACUGAGCAUCUGCAAUGAGGUUAAUUCAAAUUGAGAUGUGCUGUAAAUGGAACAUAAACACUGGACUUCAAAGACUUAGUAAUAAAAAAAAAAUGUAAACUAGCUCAAGAAUUUUAACACAGAUUAUGUGUUGAAAUAACAUGUCAAAUACAUCGGGUUGGAUAAGAUACAUUAUUUGGGUUACCUUCACCUGCUACUUUUUAUGUUUCUAAUGUGACUACUGGAAAACUUAAAAUUCCAUGUGUGGCCCACAUUUUAUGUACCCUGGACAGUGCUGGUACAUUGUUGUCCAGAGGAAAGAUGGUCACCUUUUGCUUAACAUACUGAAAUCAUUAUCUAGAAUUCAUAUUUAUCAAAUAUACAAUAUUUUAUGUCUGAUGGAGUGGUUUCCAAUGCUUUUUAAAGGUCUGUCUUUUUUUUCUACUUGCUCACUUUCGCAUAUAUUCAGUAUAUUGAAGCUAGUCUAUCUAUCUAAAGCUACUUCUGUCUCAAUUUUAAGCUAAAAUGUUCAUCAGAAGGUGAGAAUGUUUGGAGAAAGUUACACAUGUUCAGAAAAGGGGGAAAUUAUUCCCUAUGCCUAGGAAAACAACACAGCAUUUCACACCUUUCUGUCACCACUUUUCUUUCUUUUCAGUGAAGAAGGAAAAGACAGAUGGUUCAGUGCAAAGAAUUUAGGAGCGCAAAUCAAGCCCUCCUCUGGGUAAAAUUUUAGCAGGUAGUCAGAUCCUCUCCAUAGAUUCCAUACCAACAUAAAUUCCAGAUGGUUUAAAGGGGCACUUUUAAACUAUAAGAAAAACUAGAAGAAUGUUAAAUGUAUUAGGUACUUAAAUGUUGGGACAGGAAAAUUUUUAAAGAAGCAAAGAAGGGGGAAAAGGCAUGGAUAGAUCAGACUAUGCACAAAUUUAAAAUUCUAGACAUGAAAAAUAUAGAAACAAGAGGAAAUAAUUAUAGCAAAUACCACAAACAUUAAAUUAACUUUUAAAAUGUAUAGACAUUAGACAGACUCAUUUAAAAACAACUUUGAUCUCCAAAUGUAAAAGGUUUGAAUCAAUAAUUCAUCAAAGAAGAAUUAUGACUGGCAAAUAACCCCAGGAAAAAAUGUUCACUCUCCCUUGUAAACCAAUGAAUGCAAAUUAAAACAAAAGUAAGUUAUCUAGUCUGCUUACCUGAUUGGCAAAGUUAUUAUUGUGAUUGUUGUUUUGUUUGGUGCUGGUGAGAGUGUAGCAAAAUGGGUAUUAAUAUAUAGCUGGAUGGUUCUGAAAAUUUGUAUGAACUUAUUGAAAAACAUUUGCUGUAAAAAGAUUUUGAUAAAGUAAUUCCAUGUCUGGAAUCUAUCCUCAAGGAAAAACAAACAAAAAUCCUUAUGAGCAAAAAGACGUCACAGAGUUAUUCAUAAUAUUAAAAUUUUAAAACAACUUAAUUUCCAACCAAUAAGGAAAGACUUAAGUAAAAUAUGGUAAAUUCACUCAAUGGAAUAUUAUGCAGUCAAUAAGGAUGUUUGUUCAGGCUAUAUACUAACAUGGAAAAUGGACUGUAAUAUAAUUUUUAAUGAAAAACACCCAGGUUUCAAACUGUAUAUGUAGUAUGAUUACAACUAUGUAAAACUCUUCUGUUAAAAAAAAAAAGAUGGACUAUAUGCAAUUUCGUGGCCUAUUCCUGAUGAAUAUAGCAGAGUAUAACUGUAUCAUGAUAAAACUAGCACCUGCUGAGCCCAGCUAAGUAAAAUGACUAACCCUUUGUCAG